rnacentral:rRNA from 1 species
CCUGGUUGAUCCUGCCAGUAGUCAUAUGCUUGUCUCAAAGAUUAAGCCAUGCAUGUCUCAGUACAAGCCAAAUUAAGGUGAAACCGCGAAAGGCUCAUUAAAUCAGUUAUGGUUCCUUAGAUCGUACCACUUUUACUUGGAUAACUGUGGUAAUUCUAGAGCUAAUACAUGCAAACAGAGCUCCGACCUCAACAGGGAGGAGCGCUUUUAUUAGAUCAAAACCAAUCGGUGGCGGGUUCGCUCGUCAUCGUGAAUUUUGGUGACUCUGAAUAACUUUGUGCUGAUCGCACGGUCUCGCACCGGCGACGCAUCUUUCAAAUGUCUGCCUUAUCAACUGUCGAUGGUAGGUUCUGCGCCUACCAUGGUUGUAACGGGUAACGGGGAAUCAGGGUUCGAUUCCGGAGAGGGAGCCUGAGAAACGGCUACCACAUCCAAGGAAGGCAGCAGGCGCGCAAAUUACCCACUCCCGGCACGGGGAGGUAGUGACGAAAAAUAACGAUACGGGACUCAUCCGAGGCCCCGUAAUCGGAAUGAGUACACUCUAAACCCUUUAACGAGGAUCAAUUGGAGGGCAAGUCUGGUGCCAGCAGCCGCGGUAAUUCCAGCUCCAAUAGCGUAUAUUAAAGUUGUUGCGGUUAAAAAGCUCGUAGUCGAAUGUGUGUCCCUCACCGCCGGUUCAUCGUACGCGGUGUUAACUGGCGUGUCGCGGGACGUCCUGCCGGUAGGCUUAGCUCGUAAGGGCGGUCUAACUCAAUCCCGCCGCGGUGCUCUUAAUUGAGUGUCGAGGUGGGCCGGCACGUUUACUUUGAACAAAUUAGAGUGCUUAAAGCAGGCUAAAACUUCGCCUGAAUACUGUGUGCAUGGAAUAAUAGAAUAGGACCUCGGUUCUAUUUUGUUGGUUUUCGGAACCCCGAGGUAAUGAUUAAUAGGAACGGAUGGGGGCAUUCGUAUUGCGACGUUAGAGGUGAAAUUCUUGGAUCGUCGCAAGACGAACAGAAGCGAAAGCAUUUGCCAAAAACGCUUUCAUUGAUCAAGAACGAAAGUUAGAGGUUCGAAGGCGAUCAGAUACCGCCCUAGUUCUAACCAUAAACGAUGCCAGCUAGCGAUCCGCCGACGUUCCUCCGAUGACUCGGCGGGCAGCUCCCGGGAAACCAAAGCUUUUGGGUUCCGGGGGAAGUAUGGUUGCAAAGCUGAAACUUAAAGGAAUUGACGGAAGGGCACCACCAGGAGUGGAGCCUGCGGCUUAAUUUGACUCAACACGGGAAACCUCACCAGGCCCGGACACCGGAAGGAUUGACAGAUUGAGAGCUCUUUCUUGAUUCGGUGGGUGGUGGUGCAUGGCCGUUCUUAGUUGGUGGAGCGAUUUGUCUGGUUAAUUCCGAU